AUUGAACGCUGGCGGCAUGCCUUACACAUGCAAGUCGAACGGCAGCACGGGAGCUUGCUCCUGGUGGCGAGUGGCGAACGGGUGAGUAAUACAUCGGAACGUACCCAGGAGUGGGGGAUAACGUAGCGAAAGUUACGCUAAUACCGCAUAUUCUGUGAGCAGGAAAGCGGGGGAUCGCAAGACCUCGCGCUCUUGGAGCGGCCGAUGUCGGAUUAGCUAGUUGGUGAGGUAAAAGCUCACCAAGGCGACGAUCCGUAGCAGGUCUGAGAGGAUGAUCUGCCACACUGGGACUGAGACACGGCCCAGACUCCUACGGGAGGCAGCAGUGGGGAAUUUUGGACAAUGGGGGCAACCCUGAUCCAGCCAUGCCGCGUGAGUGAAGAAGGCCUUCGGGUUGUAAAGCUCUUUCGGCGGGGAAGAAAUGGCAACGGCUAAUAUCCGUUGUUGAUGACGGUACCCGCAUAAGAAGCACCGGCUAACUACGUG
rnacentral:rRNA from 2 species